rnacentral:lncRNA from 10 species
CAAGUUAGCAGUAUAUUUUGUAGUAGAUGAUUCUGUUUGUCUCUAAAUUUUUUUUUUUUUUUUGAGACAUUGUCUCACUCUUUUGCACAGGCUGGAGUGCAGUGGCACGAUCAUGGCUCACUGGAGCCUCAACCACCAGGUCUCUGGAUCUCACAUUGGUUUCUAUGGGAACGAGAAUGGCUCUGAAGAGGAGCAUUUUAAGAACUCUUUUCACAUUCAGUGACUGCUAACUGAACUGUAAAUUCUGUUUGUCUGUUAACGGUUUUUAACAUUUAGAUUUUAACACAGAAAUAGAAGUUGGGCAUUCUAGCCUCAUAAAUCAUUUUAAAUAAUAAAAACUAUUUUUAUGAAACAUCUGGCACAUUUGAAACAUUUGAAAAACAAAAUAACUAGCUUUAGGAGCUAAUAAUCUGUUCACUUUAUUAAAUUCAUUAAUGAUUAAUCCACAUUGGCCAUGUGCUUGCUCUUAGAAAAUUGUGUAAAGAAGAACUUCAUCAGA